rnacentral:lncRNA from 1 species
GUCUGGUAAGACCAGCUGUAAUCAGAACCUUUCAAAUCUAAAAUUACCUGUUCACUUGAAGAUGGUAACUUGUGUGGAUCCAUGGUGAGACUUUUCAAGUCAUCUGAUAUGGUCUGUAAAUGGGUUAUUUCUCCCAGCAUUGAUAUUUCUUCUUCUAUCACAGGCCGCAGCAUCGAGAUGAAAGUACAGAAUCGACCACGCUCCUCGAUGAGAGCUUUUCUGACAGCUUGCUUCUCAGUUUCUUCAAGCAGCAGGUACUUAUCAUUGACAUCUUGCAGAGCACUAUCCAACUGGGGCUGAAUGUCACCCCGUCCUUUCUUUGCUUUCUUCUGUAGCUUCAGUGUAUCAGACGAUUUCUUUUUUAUCUCUUGGCGGGCUUUUUU